rnacentral:piRNA from 2 species
UCCUGGCAUUGGUUCUCCAGCUUUCCUGCUC